GUUUUCCCCUCCCUUCUUCCUCUCAAUUCUGAUAAACAAAACAGACGCCUCCAGCAAUUUUCGUCUUUCAAAAUCCUGCCGGAACCUCUGCCCGGGCCUCCUGUUGAGGUCUUGUUACAGUAACAGUUGACCAAACAAGGGACGUUCAACCCAGGCCUGACCUUGGAACAACUGGCCACCGGGAAUGUGGAGGCUGACCAUCAUGUUUCAGGAACCAGUAAUGAAGACAUUUAUCAAGACCACCGUAAGGACUCGAGAUCACAAGACUACAUGUCACCAGAACUUCCUCUGUGCUCCCUUCCCACCUUUCCCCUAUAGAAACUUGCUUCUGAAAGCUCAAGAGAAGGUGGCUGUUGGAGUUUUUACCCUCCACCUUCUCAGCUUGCCAUCUUCUUGAUAUUAAUAAAAGCGCAAUUAUAA